CGUCUCAGUCAACCCUGAAAGUCACCCAGUGGCCCCCGGUUGCUGUAGUGAGCCUGCGCCAGUCUGUAGAGAUGAAUUGCAACCAGAGUGCUUCUAAUAGCUACAUGUACUGGUAUCGACAGCAAAACUCCAGUGAGCUUCAACUGGUCUUUUAUUCUUCAUACGGCAGCGAUCCAGAAAAGGGUGAAAACAUCCCUGAUAGAUUUACUGUCUCCAGGACACAGAGGGAGAGAAUCACUCUGAAUAUAAAGAAUGCUGUGGCUUCAGACACUGGAGUGUAUUACUGUGCAGCUAGUGCCACAGUACACAAACCUAUCAGUCUUCCUGUCUGAAAACUCUACAAGGGGGCAGACAAGAGACAGAAACACAACAUGCAGCAACACACAAUAAUACUCAAAUUGUGACUGUUUAGAACAUGCUUCCAUCAUUUAACUUUGGUGCUCAUUUGAUAACAUUGUAGACCUUCCAGUUGAUCUACAUACCAUAUUGGUAGUUUUUAACUGCACACAAAAUCUUUCUCCUCCCUGAAGAAGUGUUGCCACUAACCCACUCAAAAUGGACAUACCCCCUGUGAAGAAAAUGGCAGUGACGCCUUUAAGGAAUGGCGUCGCUGGAAAGGAAACUACACGUCCCAGAAGGCUCAGUGUCAAUUGGUAGGGCGGGGUUACACAGUUUAAAAGGAAGCAGAGCAGAAUAAUCGGAGUGUUGUGUGAUUGUGGGGAACACUGCCCGAUUGUCCUGCCUGCGCAAGCUUUGGGGAAUCUAUCCUAUCUUCCUGUGUCUGUGGGAAAGCUGUAACGCAGCGUCUCAGUCAACCCUGAAAGUCACCCAGUGGCCCCCGGUUGCUGUAGUGAGCCUGCGCCAGUCUGUAGAGAUGAAUUGCAACCAGAGUGCUUCUAAUGCCUACAUGUACUGGUAUCGACAGCAAAACUCCAGUGAGCUUCAACUGGUCUUUUCCUCUCCAUACGGCAGCGAUCCAGAAAAGGGUGAAAACAUCCCUGAUAGAUUUACUAUCUCCAGGACACAGAUGGAGAGAAUCACUCUAAAUAUAAAGAAUGCUGAGGCUGCAGACACUGGAGUGUAUUACUGUGCAGCUAGUGCCACAGUACACAAACCUAUCAGUCUUCCUGUCUGAAAACUCUACAAGGGGGCAGACAAGAGACAGAAACACACCAUGCAGCAACACACAAUAAUAUUCAAUACUGUGACUGUUUAGAAAAUGCUUCCCUCAUUUAACUUUGGUGUUCACUUGAUAACAUUGUAGGCCUUCCAGUUGUUCUACAUACCAUAUUAUUAGUUUUUAACUGCACACAAAAUCUUUCUCCUCCCUUGAAGUGUUGCCACUAACCCACUCAAAAUGGGCAUACCCCCUGUGAAGAAAAUGGCAGUGACGCCUUUAAGGAAUGGCGUCGCUGGAAAGGAAACUACACGUCCCAGAAGGCUCAGUGUCAAUUGGUAGGGCGGGGUUACACAGUUUAAAAGGAAGCAGAGCAGAACAAUUGGGGUGUUGUGUGAUUGUGGGGAACACUGUUCGAUUGUCCUGCCUGCGCAAGCUUUGGGGAAUCUAUCCUAUCUCCCUGUGUCUGUGGGAAAGCUCUAACGCAGCGUCUCAGUCAACCCUGAAAGUCACCCAGUGGCCCCCGGUUGCUGUAGUGAGCCUGCGCCAGUCUGUAGAGAUGAAUUGCAACCAGAGUGCUUCUAAUGCCUACAUGUACUGGUAUCGACAGCAAAACUCCAGUGAGCUUCAACUGGUCUUUUAUUCUUUAUACGGCAGUGAUCCAGAAAAGGGUGAAAACAUCCCUGAUAGAUUUACUGUCUCCAGGACACAGUUAGAGAGAACAGCUCUAAAUAUAAAGAAUGCUGAGGCUGCAGACACUGGAGUGUAUUACAGUGCAGCUAGUGCCACAGUACACAAACCUAUCAGUCUUCCUGUCUGAAAACUCUACAAGGGGGCAGACAAGAGACAGAAACACAACAUGCAGCAACACACGAUAAUACUCAAAUUGUGACUGUUUAGAAAAUGCUUCCCUCAUGUAACUUUGGUGUUCACUUGAUAACAUUGUAGGCCUUCCAGUUGUUCUACAUACCAUAUUGUUAGUUUUUAACUGCACACAAAAUCUUUCUCCUCCCUGAAGAUGUGUUGCCACUAACCCACUCAAAAUGGGCAUACCCACUGUGAAGAAAAUGGCAGUGACGCCUUUAAGGAAUAGCGUCGCUGGAAAGGAAACUACACGUCCCAGAAGGCUCAGUGUCAAUUGGUAGGGCGGGGUUACACAGUUUAAAAGGAAGCAGAGCAGAUCAAUUGGGGUGUUGUAUGAUUGUGGGGAACACUGUUCGAUUGUCCUGCCUGCGCAAGCUUUGGGGAAUCUAUCCUAUCUCCCUGUGUCUGUGGGAAAGCUAUAACGCAGCGUCUCAGUCAACCCUGAAAGUCACCCAGUGGCCCCCGGUUGCUGUAGUGAGCCUGCGCCAGUCUGUAGAGAUGAAUUGCAACCAGAGUGCUUCUAAUGCCUACAUGUACUGGUAUCGACAGCAAAACUCCAACGCAGCGUCUCAGUCAACCCUGAAAGUCACCCAGUGGCCCCCGGUUGCUGUAGUGAGCCUGCGCCAGUCUGUAGAGAUGAAUUGCAAGCAGAGUGCUUCUAAUACCUACAUGUACUGGUAUCGACAGCAAAACUCCAGUGAGCUUCAACUGGUCUUUUCCUCUCCAUACGGCAGCGAUCCAGAAAAGGGUGAAAACAUCCCUGAUAGAUUUACUGUCUCCAGGACACAGAGGGAGAGAAUCACUCUAAAUAUAAAAAAUGCUGAGGCUGCAGACACUGGAGUGUAUUACUGUGCAGCUAGUGCCACAGUACACAAACCUAUCAGUCUUCCUGACUGAAAACUCUACAAGGGGGCAGACAAGAGACAGAAACACAACAUGCAGCAACACACAAUAAUACUCAAUACUGUGACUGUUUAGAAAAUGCUUCCCUCAUGUAACUUUGGUGUUCACUUGAUAACAUUGUAGACCUUCCAGUUGUUCUACUUGUCAUAUUGGUAGUUUUUAACUGCUGUGAAAGAAUCGCACCUCUCCACGGUUCAUUGCCCCUUUAAAACACUGACCCAACACACACAAAUGGAUUUUAUAAAGCACGGUUGCACUAUUUUUAAUGGAAACACACAAAAACAAAAAUAAACAAAAAUAAACACUUAGUUCUUCUUUGAGCAAUAACUAAAACAAAACAGGAACCUAAACUAAAAACAGGACAGCUAAGCUGUUUACUUGUAACAGAACAAAACAAACAGCACACACAUAAAAGGCUUCACUAUACCUUUUUCCUUUUAAAUUACAGCUGUACCCACACACCAGCACAGUCAGGCACCUACCCUCUUCAGCAGCCACCCAAAGCAGACUAACUGCUCUCCUUAUAAACCCUGCACCUGGCUCUAAUUUUCAAUCAUAGCCAGGUGCAGGUGAUAAUUAACAAUUAAAUAAUUAACAAAACAAUCAAACAAUUAACAAAACAAACCAAAAUGUACCUUACGCACAUGUUUUUCUGCAGGGAGGUUUUAACCCCCUCCCUGCUGUCUCACACUGCACACAAAAUCUUUCUCCUCCGUGAAGAUGUGUUGCCACUAACUCACUCAAAAUGAGCAUACCCCCUGUGAAGAAAAUGGCAGUGACGCCUUUAAGGAAUGGCGUCGCUGGAAAGGAAACUACAUGCCCCAGAAGGCUCAGUGUCAAUUGGUAGGACAGGGUUACACAGUUUAAAAGGAAGCAGGGCAGAACAAUCGGGGUGUUGUGUGAUUGUGGGGAACACUGCCCGAUUGUCCUGCCUGCGCAAGCUUUGGGGAAUCUAUCCUAUCUUCCUGUGUCUGUGGGAAAGCUAUAGUAAGUGCUUUACAGUUCAGUUGUAGUUAAUUGUUGAAAGUUUAGUUUAGCGCGUUUUACCUCUUGUUGAGGCAGCCUUUUUGUUUCUUUUUGUUUUGUGUAACUUUUGCGAUUUGGUUAAAUUGCUGUGUUGUUACUGCUGUCUAUGCCGUUAUUAGUAGGUGACCCACGGGGUAGCCUGGGGUGCCUGUGUGGCGCAGACACGGUAAAACUAUACUGUGUUACCAAGAGUGUUACUUAUAUAACCCGGGACUGGUUAAGGCACUGUUUGGUUACUAGCUGCAGGAGCAGCGAACUGCACACCGGUGUGGGAAGCGUUCAUAGUACAAGAAACUGAAACACAAGACCGUGGUUUUGGGAUAUUGUUUAUUUACUGCCUGAACUUGACUCUUUUAAAACCAGUCACUGCUGUGGGAGCACCAGUAUCCCGCCAUUCCUCUUAAGGGAUUGAGCACCCAUCCGUAUACAUCCUGGGACUCCGCUGUGGUGGGAACGCUCCCACAUAUCCUGGACUUCACUUGCUUGUGUUCCAGGCUCACUCCACCAGAGGGAGCUGCUGUUGUCUGUUUCUCUGUGUUCCAGGUGGUAAGCAACCGAGAGAGACCAACCUCUACUUACCUGUGUUUCUGGCUCUCUUCACCAGAGGGAGCCCAACCUCUACUUACCUGUGUUCCUGGCUCACUGCACCAGAGGGAGCCCAACCUCUACUACCUGUGUUCCUGGCUCGCUCCUCCAGAGGGAGCCCAACCUCUACUUACCUGUGUUGCAGUCUGGACAUUCUACAGGCAAAGCUGUAGAAGCUUGGUCAUCUCAAAGUAGCAUAGAGAAGGGAGAAGAAGUGAGGUAG